UAAUAGCGUAUAUUAAUGUUGUUGCAGUUAAAAAGCUCGUAGUUGAAUUUCUGGUGGGAGAAGGCAGUCCGACCCUUUGGGUGGGUACUCGCUCUCUCCGGCCAUCCUUGGUUGGAGCCUGUCUGGCAUUAAGUUGUCGGGCAGGGGAUGACCAUCGUUUACUGUGAAAAAAUUUAGAGUGUUCAAAGCAGACUUAUGUCAUUGAAUAUAUUAGCAUGGAAUAAUAAAAUAGGACCGCAGUGCUAUUUUGUUGGUUUGCGCACCGUGGUAAUGAUGAAUAGGGACAGUUGUGGGUAUUAGUAUUCAGUUGUAAGAGGUGAAAUUCUUAGAUUAACGGAAGACUCACUACUGCGAAAGCAUUUACCAAGGAUGUUUUCAUUGAUCAAGAACGAAAGUUAGGGGAUCGAAGACGAUCAGAUACC
rnacentral:rRNA from 1 species